rnacentral:rRNA from 1 species
CGCGAGAGAACUGUUGUUAAGGAACUCGGCAAAAUGACCCCGUAACUUAGGGAUAAGGGGUGCCACCAUCUGGUGGCCGCAGAGAAUAGGCCCAAGCGACUGUUUACCAAAAACAUAGGUUUCUGCUAAGUCGCAAGACGAUGUAUAGGAGCUGACGCCUGCCCGGUGCUGGAAGGUUAAGGGGAUCUGUUAGAGCAAUCGAAGCAGUGAACUUAAGCCCCAGUAAACGGCGGCCGUAACUAUAACGGUCCUAAGGUAGCGAAAUUCCUUGUCGGGU